AACGAACGCUGGCGGCAGGCCUAUCACAUGCAAGUCGAACGCCGUAGCAAUACGGAGUGGCAGACGGGUGAGUAACGCGUGGGAACAUACCCCCUCGGUUCGGAAUAAACUCAGGGAAACGUUAGAGCUAAUACCGGAGUACGUCCGAGGUUUUAAUUCGGCCUUGGAGAAAGAUUAUCGCCGGAGGAUUGGCCCGCGUCUGAUUAGCUUGUUGGUGAGGUAAUGGCUCACCAAGGCGACGAUCAGUAGCUGGUCUGAGAGGAUGAUCAGCCACAUUGGGAC
rnacentral:rRNA from 1 species